UACGUAGGGUGCGAGCGUUGUCCGGAAUUACUGGGCGUAAAGAGCUCGUAGGUGGUUUGUCGCGUUGUUCGUGAAAUCUCACGGCUUAACUGUGAGCGUGCGGGCGAUACGGGCAGACUGGAGUACUGCAGGGGAGACUGGAAUUCCUGGUGUAGCGGUGGAAUGCGCAGAUAUCAGGAGGAACACCGGUGGCGAAGGCGGAUCUCUGGGCCUUACCUGACGCUCAGGUGCGAAAGCUAGGGGAGCGAACAGG
rnacentral:rRNA from 1 species